rnacentral:lncRNA from 1 species
GACAAAUGGCAGAGAUGCAAGCAAGAAUAUGCAGAAACCAACUUUACAGUGGAAAACUUGAACAGGAACAAAAAGAGAAGAAGGAAAAACUAUAUACCUAUGGCAGCUGAGAGGGAGGUUUCUGGUUUGAAUGGAAAGCUUGAGACCAGCUUGAUACCCUCGCUAAACUCACGAGACUGGAAAUAAUGAAUGUUUUCUGCUUUGUA